GGUCUGGUGGUCUAGUGGUAUGAUUCUCGCUUAGGGUACACCCUUAGCUAAGAUGUACCAAUUGGUAUACUUGAAAUUGCGAGAGGUCCCGGGUUCAAUCCCCGGCCAGACCC